rnacentral:lncRNA from 1 species
CUCACAAUACAAUCGAUCAAUCUGUAUCCCUCUAUUCUCUUCUCUUCUUAAUCUGCUGUAGGUGCUAGCUCAUUCCCGUUCAAUAUAAUGUUGCUUCCUUCAGUCCGGAGGGUCCAGUUAAAUGCUUAUCAAUACACUCCUGCUCAAGUUUUACGAUAUACUAGCAAUACAUAACAAGUUAAAUUUCAUUUUAGGCUUAAAACCAGAACUAUUUUUCGAUCAAAUUAAGACUUAUGUAGCGAAUUUAUCAUAACAUAAUUUCGGUUACCUAACAAUUAAUCAUCUAAUGGAAGCAGAAUUGUAAUUCAUUUGAAGCUCGAGUUAUGGUUAUGCUUCCUUUCCAGCCCGUCUUUUUCCGAUGGCGUCAAGGUUCUUGCUGAUCAGGUAUGAGGCUUGGCUCUAUCCUUAUAUGCGCUUAAUAGACUACGGUUACUUCAACUAGGAGGAGAGUGGGAUGCUUAGCGCCCUUACCGGAUUAACCCGGUGCGAUGAUGAUGAGGGAAGGAUCCGGAGUUGCGCCCACAACUUGGCUGUGUAGUCCGAUGACUCAAAGUUGUCAAACCCAUGGUUGUACCGUUUUUGCUUGAAUCUUAGUUCGUAUGUAACCGUAACGAUGCCCUUUCGGGAGAUCAAUGAAAUAUAUAGAAUUAUCUAUAAAAAAAAAUAAAAAAAAAAAUAAUGGAAUAGCGAUAAUUUGUGUUUAACAUUGAAUAUAUAUUGAAAAGGACUAAUUCAUAGAUCGUCAAUCACUAACUCAUUUUCAGUUGCUAUAUAUAUAGGGUCCGUUUGUUUCUCCAUCUGGAUGAAUCAUUUGGAUGAAGAUGAGAGUUUUGUUUGUUUAGGCACUAAAAGUACAACUCAUUCAGAUAGAUCAUCCGGAUGACUUUUGGAAAUUUAUGCUUAAUUUUAAAGUCCAUUCAGCUGAACCAAUUUGGAUUAUUUGAAUGGAGAUGGUUCAUUCAAAAUGGUAUAAUGUCUAUUAUGCCCCUAAUGUAAUUCACAAAUUACAAACCUAAAAAUAAUAUCAUUUUUGUCACAUACAAAAACUGACAAAACUACAAAAACACUUUUUCUCGCGAAAACCUAAAAACUAUUUUUCACGCCAAAACCCCAAAUUGCAAAAAUGUGUUUUCCCGUCAAAAUUGCAAAAACGUAUUUUUCCGCAAAAACGUAUUUUUCCGCAAAACCGAAAAACGUGUUUUCAUGCCAAAAUUACAAAAAAAAACAUGUUUUCACGUUAACACCCCAAACACACAUUUUUCCGCCAAAACACAAAAACAUAUUUUCCCGCCAAAAUUGCAAAAACGUAUUUUCCCGCCAAAACCGAAAUAUCUCAUUUUCUCGCCAAUACCAAAAAAAUCUAGUUUUUCUGCAAAAACCACAAAAAC